rnacentral:rRNA from 1 species
AACGAACGCUGGCGGCAGGCUUAACACAUGCAAGUCGAACGGGCCCUUCGGGGUCAGUGGCAGACGGGUGAGUAACGCGUGGGAACGUGCCCUUCAGUUUGGAAUAACACAGGGAAACUUGGUCUAAUACCGGAUACGCCCUUCGGGGGAAAGAUUUAUCGCUGAAGGAUCGGCCCGCGUCUGAUUAGAUGGUUGGUGAGGUAAUGGCUCACCAAGGCGACGAUCAGUAGCUGGUCUGAGAGGAUGAUCAGCCACAUUGGGACUGAGACACGGCCCAAACUCCUACGGGAGGCAGCAGUGGGGAAUAUUGGACAAUGGGCGCAAGCCUGAUCCAGCCAUGCCGCGUGAGUGAUGACGGCCUUAGUGUUGUAAAGCUCUUUCGCACGCGACGAUAAUGACGGUAGCGUGAGAAGAAGCCCCGGCUAACUUCGUGCCAGCCGCCGCAGUAAGAC